rnacentral:rRNA from 1 species
GCAUGUCUCAGUACAAGCCAAAUUAAGGUGAAACCGCGAAAGGCUCAUUAAAUCAGUUAUGGUUCCUUAGAUCGUACCCACAAUUACUUGGAUAACUGUGGUAAUUCUAGAGCUAAUACAUGCAAACAGAGCUCCGACCGGAGACGGAAGGAGUGCUUUUAUUAGAUCAAAACCAAUCGGUGGCGGGUUCGCUCGUUAUCGUACAACUUGGUGACUCUGAAUAACUUUACGCUGAUCGCACGGUCAUCGCACCGGCGACGCAUCUUUCAAAUGUCUGCCUUAUCAACUGUCGAUGGUAGGUUCUGCGCCUACCAUGGUUGUAACGGGUAACGGGGAAUCAGGGUUCGAUUCCGGAGAGGGAGCCUGAAAAACGGCUACCACAUCCAAGGAAGGCAGCAGGCGCGCAAAUUACCCACUCCCGGCACGGGGAGGUAGUGA